ensembl:lncRNA uncharacterized LOC115027434
AUGGUUUGUGUGAUGGACUGUUUUAUUUUUUCCUUUCUAUGUUCACUUCAGGACCAUGUGUUGGCACAUCAAAGCAGUAGAGACCCUGACCUGGUGAUGGACUCCAACAUCAACCAUCUCAUCACCUCAAAAUGCUUUCAAAUCAUUUUGUUUAAACGUCACUGCCCUUCUGAGGGGACAGAUUACACAGCUAACUGCAUAAGUGAGUGUCAUUUCCUGUCACUUAACUCUGUCUGUGAGGGGUAUAUGCUAUAUAUUUCCAGUGUCAUUGUAAACAUCUUGUUCUACCUUUACCUUGUGUCAGAUUGUCUUCCAGUUGUAUCUUUAAAAGCAUUUUUAAAUGUGAUUCCAGUCAUCCAAUGUUCUGAUGUACACAUUUCUUCUUUUCACAGCCAACUGCACUCUAACUUCUCUCGGAACAUCUCAGGAAACAAAAGGUACGGAUGAACUAAAAAACAUAAAUUAUGUUAGGUAAUCGUUGUAUUAAAUAUGGGUUACAUACUAGAGCAGCAGUGUUUCCGUUCAUUUUCUCACUCUUUGGGUUUUGCCGUCAAUGCGUGAGAUAUUGUUGGUGUAAGGUUACAUCAUGUGUGUACUUCCUGUUUGAAAUCUCAAAGCAGUUUCCAUUCAUAACCGCAAGUCUUUGUCAUUUAACAAGCUACAUUGGCUUUCUCCUAAAGCAGACAAUGCCUCCAGGCCUCAGGCAGCGUUGUUUGUCUUCCCUCUGUAAAGGCAAGCAGGGGGAUCAAACUUGUGCCACUAUUUUCCAAUAAAUUGCAUCAUACAAUCUGUGGAAUUAUUAUGUAAUAUACAGUAACUUUGUAUUUACAAAAUGUAUUGCCUUAAUGAUUAGUUCUUUAUAGAGGAGUGUAGGAGGGCUACAUGGCUCCCCACUGUGUAGAGUUCCAUUCAAAGUAUGCAUGAAUAAUAGUAAGCUUAAAGAAAAUGCAUAGUUUUUGUGAUAAUUACGGUAUUUGAAAGAAUAAUUUGACUUUUUAGGUCAAAUAAAAUGCUGUCUGUUGGUAUAUUAACUGAAAAACUCUCUUCUCCUGACAGAGAGUCCUACUGUUGGUAUUACUGUUGCUGUCCUGUUGCUGGUCGGGCUCUUCUUCGUCCUCCUUAGUGCCUUGUGCUACAAAUGCAGAAAGAGAAUUCCAGGUAUUUUUAAAUCACAUCACUAUAUAAAAUGUCAUGAAUUUCCCUCAUCUGGCAAGUUUUCCAAUAAUACUCUAUUUUUAUUGAUAGGAUAUGCAGCUUGUAUCUCACGACGCCUCUACACUUCGCCUGUGAAGUUGUAGAACGUUGCCUUCACAGCAGUUUAGGAUGGUAGCUCAAGACUGAAAUCUAAAGUAGUUCAGUAUACUGUGGCACGCCAUGUAUAGGCAUUAUGACCUAUUCAUGCUGAAAACUAUAGUCAUGCUUUUUAAUCAUUCCUACAUUAUCUCUGCUGCACUACUCUUUACAUUUGGCCAAAAUCAGUGUGUUGUGCCUUUCUUUAGGGAACCAUCUUUUCCCUGUUUAAAAAAAAUGACACACCCUUUUUUAAAUCCGUAUUUCAGCUACCUAAAUUGUGUUAUCUAUUCAUGUCACAGUUUAAACUGUGUUGCUGUAACAAUGUAUGGGAUUAGUAGCCCAAUCAUGUAUUAGCAUCGCUGAUCAGUUCUUAAUUUGGUUCUAAAAACCCACAUCCACUACCAUCAUGUUAACAAGCCAUUGCUGCAAGAAAAGGUUCCAGGGAAACACUUUAUCAUAUAUGGUUUUGCUUUUAUAUAUUAUCUAAGGCUGUACACUUUACAAAUGAAUGUAAUCAGUUAAGGACAAUGUGUACACACAUGUGAUUUGGGAUACAUGUGGUUAUCACUCAAGCAAAGACCGUCAGUGUGACAGAUGUUGAGUUACAGUGACACUGUAAGCUUCAUUCACUGUGUCAUUGUUACAUUUGAGACAUAAUCCACCACAGUUGUCUUUAGAUGUAUAUCUGACUGGAUAUGGAACACUUAAUAAUAGUACUUAAUAUUCCCUUGAUAAUAGUUGCACAGCCAUUAGUUGGCUAUGAUGUUUUGGUGCACAGAUACAUAGUUAUUGAGGCUGUGGAAGCAGACAGACAGCUAGUAUACUUUUAGGACCAACGCCCAGUAGCAAUGCAGUAACCUCCCCAGGUCCAGGACCUCAUAUUGGUGUUAACGGGAACCAAAGCUGUGGAAGUUCGGAGACUCGUAAUGCAGCACCAGGGCGUGCCCAUUCAGUGUCCUGUAGCAGUACAACUCUUAAUAUUCAUCUGAAGCCUUAAGUCAUUCCCUGCACAGAGAAAUAUACAUGUUUUUAUUUUUAUAUUUCUCAUAUAUAUUAAUAGAUAUAUUUGUACUGAUGGAUAAUACAAUAAAUAUAUAAUAUAGUAAGUAAAUAAUGUUAGCAUAUUUAUAUCUGAAUAUAUAUAUAUAUUAUAUUUUAUACACUAUACUAUAAUUAUAAAUACACUGAAAGGGUUUGGAUGUAAUAAUGUGUGCAAUGUAAUUCUAUCCAAUACAAUUGUUUGUGACGUAAUGAAGAUAUAGUCGUAUUGGAGGUUGUAAGGAGGUUGUAAGUCAUUGUAUGUCUUUUAUUCUUCAAUUAUACGCCAUGAGUCUCCCUGUAAACUUCUUCUCUUCAAUAAAAAGAUACAUUUUCAAAACAAGAGUUUUUAUUUUUAUUGUCUACUGUAAUG